ensembl:lncRNA
GAGGGUGCCCAGGGCAGUUUCCUUCCUCCUGCCUGAUAGUAAGUAGAGGCACCUUCCUCUCUGGGGUAAUUGGCGUCCAUGGCAGGCACAAGGGCUUCUCCUACAGCCCAGUCCCAACUCCAGCUUUGGCUGGCAGCGGCUAAGUCAUGUCCGACUCUUGUGACCCCAUGGACUGUAGCCUGGCAGGCUCUUCUCUCCAGGCAAAAAUACUGGAGAAGUGAAAGAAAAUUACUGCCACUGUCAUUACUGAACUCUCGGUCCUCCGGAGACGGGGAGCUGAAAGAUCCAUUGGGCAUCCCCAGUGGGGACUGCAAAGGCCAGGUGUGUGGGAGGAGAGGGUGGGCUGUGGUCUCUGGGGGCCGAGUGGCUGGACCAGGAGUGGAGGAGCCCAGCAGCUUCUCCAGAGCCCUGGCGGCCACCUCUUUCAGCUGCAGAACGUAGCCCCACCUAGAC